rnacentral:rRNA from 1 species
CAGUAGCCACGGUAAUACAGAGGGUGCGAGCGUUAAUCGGAUUUACUGGGCGUAAAGCGUGCGUAGGCGGCUUUUUAAGUCGGAUGUGAAAUCCCUGAGCUUAACUUAGGAAUUGCAUUCGAUACUGGGAAGCUAGAGUAUGGGAGAGGAUGGUAGAAUUCCAGGUGUAGCGGUGAAAUGCGUAGAGAUCUGGAGGAAUACCGAUGGCGAAGGCAGCCAUCUGGCCUAAUACUGACGCUGAGGUACGAAAGCAUGGAGAGCAAACAGGAUUAGAUACCCCGGUAGUCCCUGUCUCUUAUAC